rnacentral:RNase_P_RNA from 1 species
UAAGUUGUCAAGACAAUCGCGGCUGGUGCUAGACACCAGAUGAGGAAAGUCCGGGCUCCAUAGGGCAGUGUGCUGGAUAACGUCCAGCGAGGGUGACCUUAGGGAUAGUGCCAUAGAGAUUUAGACCGCCUGACAUGUCAGGUAAGGGUGGAAAGGUGCGGUAAGAGCGCACCAGCAGUCAGGUGACUGGCUGGCUUGGGUAAACCCCACACGGAGCAAGACCAAAUAGGGAAGGGAUGAUGCGGCCCGCGGAACCUUCCGGGUUGAGUCGCUUGAGC